GUUGGGGCAUGCAGGGGCCGGGCCGACCGGUCCGGCGAGCCCGAGCCGGUCCUGCAGAGGCCUGCAGCCGCACCUGCAGUGAGACCUAAUCCUGUGGGGGCACACAGGGGCCGGGCUGACCGUUCCAGAGAGCCGGAGCCAGUCCAGCAGAGGCCUCCAGCCACUGCUGCAGUUUGACCGAGUCCUGUUGGGGCACGCAGGGGCCGGGCUGACCGGUCUGGCAAGCCCGAGCCGGUCUUGCAGAGGCCUCCAGCUGCAGCUUUAGUGUGACAGAGCGUUGUGGGGGUCCCCAGGGGCCGGUCCGACCGGUCUGGCGAGCCCGAGACGGUCCUGCAGAGGGCGCCAGCUGCGGUUUUAGUGUGCCCGAGUGCUGUGCGGGCCCGCAGGGGCCGAUCAGACCGGUCCGGCGAUCGGGACCAACUCCUUCAGCAUGCUCCAGCCACAGCUGCGGAGGAGGCCGAGUCCGGUGGGGGCACGCAGGGGUCCGGGUGACCAGUCCGGCGAGCCUGAGCUGGUCCUGUACAGGCCACCAGCCGCACCUGCAGUGAGACCGAGUCCUGUUUGGGCACGCAGGGGCCGGGCUGACCGUUCCGGAGAGCCCGAGCCGGUCCUGCAGAGGGCGCCAGC
ensembl:lncRNA